CGUAGUCGAUGGGAAACAGGUUAAUAUUCCUGUACUUGGUGUUACUGCGAAGGGGGGACGGAGAAGGCUAUGUUGGCCGGGCGACGGUUGUCCCGGUUUAAGCGUGUAGGCUGGUUUUCCAGGCAAAUCCGGAAAACCAAGGCUGAGGCGUGAUGACGAGGCACUACGGUGCUGAAGCGACAAAUGCCCUGCUUCCAGGAAAAGCCUCUAAGCAUCAGGUAACAUCAAAUCGUACCCCAAACCGACACAGGUGGUCAGGUAGAGAAUACCAAGGCGCUUGAGAGAACUCGGGUGAAGGAACUAGGCAAAAUGGUGCCGUAACUUCGGGAGAAGGCACGCUGAUAUGUAGGUGAAGCGACUUGCUCGUGGAGCUGAAAUCAGUCGAAGAUACCAGCUGGCUGCAACUGUUUAUUAAAAACACAGCACUGUGCAAACACGAAAGUGGACGUAUACGGUGUGACGCCUGCCCGGUGCCGGAAGGUUAAUUGAUGGGGUUAGCGGCAACGCGAAGCUCUUGAUCGAAGCCCCGGUAAACGGCGGCCGUAACUAUAACGGUCCUAAGGUAGCGAAAUUCCUUGUCGGGUAAGUUCCGACCUGCACGAAUGGCGUAAUGAUGGCCAGGCUGUCUCCACCCGAGACUCAGUGAAAUUGAACUCGCUGUGAAGAUGCAGUGUACCCGCGGCAAGACGGAAAGACCCCGUGAACCUUUACUAUAGCUUGACACUGAACAUUGAGCCUUGAUGUGUAGGAUAGGUGGGAGGCUUUGAAGUGUGGACGCCAGUCUGCAUGGAGCCGACCUUGAAAUACCACCCUUUAAUGUUUGAUGUUCUAACGUUGGCCCCUAAUCGGGGUUGCGGACAGUGUCUGGUGGGUAGUUUGACUGGGGCGGUCUCCUCCUAAAGAGUAACGGAGGAGCACGAAGGUUGGCUAAUCCUGGUCGGACAUCAGGAGGUUAGUGCAAUGGCAUAAGCCAGCUUGACUGCGAGCGUGACGGCGCGAGCAGGUGCGAAAGCAGGUCAUAGUGAUCCGGUGGUUCUGAAUGGAAGGGCCAUCGCUCAACGGAUAAAAGGUACUCCGGGGAUAACAGGCUGAUACCGCCCAAGAGUUCAUAUCGACGGCGGUGUUUGGCACCUCGAUGUCGGCUCAUCACAUCCUGGGGCUGAAGUAGGUCCCAAGGGUAUGGCUGUUCGCCAUUUAAAGUGGUACGCGAGCUGGGUUUAGAACGUCGUGAGACAGUUCGGUCCCUAUCUGCCGUGGGCGCUGGAGAACUGAGGGGGACUGCUCCUAGUACGAGAGGACCGGAGUGGACGCAUCACUGGUGUUCGGGUUGUCAUGCCAAUGGCACUGCCCGGUAGCUAAAUGCGGAAGAGAUAAGUGCUGAAAGCAUCUAAGCACGAAACUUGCCCCGAGAUGAGUUCUCCCUGAGACUUAGAGCCUCCUGAAGGAACGUUGAAGACGACGACGUUGAUAGGCCGGGUGUGUAAGCGCAGCGAUGCGUUGAGCUAACCGGUACUAAUGAACCGUGAGGCUUAACCUU
rnacentral:rRNA from 1 species